rnacentral:rRNA from 1 species
UACGAAGGGGGCUAGCGUUGCUCGGAAUCACUGGGCGUAAAGGGUGCGUAGGCGGGUCUUUAAGUCAGGGGUGAAAUCCUGGAGCUCAACUCCAGAACUGCCUUUGAUACUGAAGAUCUUGAGUUCGGGAGAGGUGAGUGGAACUGCGAGUGUAGAGGUGAAAUUCGUAGAUAUCUGGAAGAACACCAAAGGCGAAGGCAGUGUCCUGGGUGGUCGCUGACGCUGAGAGGCGAAAGCCAGGGGAGCGAACGGG